rnacentral:misc_RNA from 1 species
UCUGGUUGAUCAUUGAUUUCAAUAUCUUGAGCCCUGCAAUUUCUCUUCUUCACAUCACCAACAACUCUUACUGUUGCAGUGUACCCACAAUGUCUCACAAUGACAAUACCCAGUGAAGAAGUAUCAUGAACAACUACACUCUCAUCUGCAGUUACCCCUUUAAGCAAAUUCCUUUGAGCAACUUUCUUAGCAGAGAUACCAGAUAAUUGAUGGCCAUCGACUUUUUCUGUAGACUUCAAGCUUGCAUCAGCCACAUCACGUUUUACAGCAAUGGACAAGUCUCCCACACGAU